UGGGGAGUAUUGCACAAUGGCGCAAGCCUGAUGCAGCCAUGCCGCGUGUAUAAAGAAGGCCAAUUCGGGGCUUUGGUUAAAGAUACUUUUCAGCGAGGAGGAAGGUGCUGUGGUUAAUAACCGCAGCAAUUGACGUUACUCGCAGAAGAAGCACCGGCUAACUCCGUGCCAGCAGCCGCGGUAAUACGGAGGGUGCAAGCGUUAAUCGGAAUUACUGGGCGUAAAGCGCACGCAGGCGGUCUGUCAAGUCGGAUGUGAAAUCCCCGGGCUCAACCUGGGAACUGCAUCCGAAACUGGCAGGCUAGAGUCUUGUAGA
rnacentral:rRNA from 1 species